AGCACCGACCUUCCAUCGUCAGUCGCUCGGUUCGUUUCGGCCGGUUGUGUGGUACGUUUUCCGAAAAUGCUGUUCUAUUUCGUUCUGCUAGCGGUUUCGCUUGCCUUCUACUGGGUCGGAAGAAGGUAUGCGUACUGGAAGCAACGAGGAGUCCCGUACGUGGAGCCAAGCUUCCCCUUCGGCAACAUCACCCAGAUGAGGAAACGGCAUAUCGCAUUGCUGAUGCAGGAUGCGUACUUGCAGCUGAAGGAUUGUGGGAAAAAGUUCGGUGGGGUGUUCUUUUUCAUCAACCCGGUGGCAAUUAUUUUGGAUUUGGAUUUUGCAAAAGAUGUGUUCGUGAAAGAUUUUCAGUAUUUCCAUGAUCGAGGAGUUUACAGUAAUGAGAGGGGCGAUCCGAUUUCGGCUCAUCUGGUGACGAUGGAAGGGACCAAGUGGAAGAAUUUGAGGGCAAAACUGACGCCAACUUUCACCUCCGGAAAGAUGAAAAUGAUGUACCCUACAAUCACCGGAGUAGCUGAGGAAUUCCGAAAGUGUAUGCAAGUUGAGGCAGACAACGGAGGGGAAGUGGAAAUGAAAGAAUUUCUAGCGCGAUUUACUACCGAUGUAAUUGGAACCUGUGCAUUUGGGUUAGAGUGCAACAGCCUGAGCGAUCCGGAUGCAAAAUUCCGGCAAAUGGGUAGGAAGGCCCUAGCGAUGACUCCGAUGGGCUUCCUUCGAAGAAUUUUCAGCGUGACAUUCCGAGAUUUAGCCAAAGCUCUUAACAUUAAAAUUGUCGAUCCGGAAGUGUCCAACUUCUUCAUGAACGCCGUUAGAGAUACGAUUGAGUACCGCGAAAAAAACAAGAUUCAACGAAAUGAUUUUAUGGAUCUGCUGAUCAAACUGAAAAAUGCUGAACCAAUCGACGAUGGUACUCCGGAGCAGCUGGGUAGGUUGACAUUCAACGAAAUUGCAGCUCAAGCUUUCGUGUUUUUCUUGGCCGGCUUUGAAACAUCGUCAACGGCGAUGUCCUACUGUCUGUACGAGCUUGCCAAGAAUCAGGAGCUGCAAGAUAAGGCUCGGAAAAAUGUGGAAGAAGUUUUAGCUCGAAACGAUGGAAAAAUGACAUACGAAGCAGUUCACGAAAUGAGAUAUAUCGAAAAUUGCAUUAAUGAAUCGCUUCGCAAGUAUCCCCCUGUCCCGAACAUAUUGCGCAACACCAACAAAGAUUACCCCGUUCCGGACAUGAACGUCACCCUGGAGAAGGGAUACCGUGUGCUGUUACCCAUCUACGCAAUCCAUCACGACGCUCGGUACUACCCGGAUCCGGAAAGGUACGAACCGGAUCGCUUCAGUCCGGAAGAAUGUGCAAAACGACAUCAGAUGGCAUUCGUUCCGUUCGGUGACGGUCCUCGUAUCUGUAUCGGUAUGCGUUUCGGGCUGAUGCAAGCUCGCGUUGGAUUGGCAUAUCUACUGCAGAAUUUCCGCUUCAAGUUGUCACCGAAGACACCGCGGGUGCUAAAGCUGGUAGCAUCUAGUGCGAUUCUUACAUCGGAGGGAGGCCUUUGGUUGCACAUUGAGAACUUGUAACUGAUUACGUGGUACAGAGACGCUGGCCGGAAUGAUCUUUUGUUUUAGUUAGCUGUGUUGCAAUAUUGGAAAAAAAAACUGUACUUAAAUUUUUAUACAUAGCAGUUGCAGAAAGGUUAUGCAAUCAUUCCUAACCGAAGAACUUCCUAACGGAGACCCGAAGAACCGAGUGUCGUAUACCAUUCGAUAGAGUUUCUCCAGAUAAAACAUGUUUGCUUGUGUAUUAGACGUGCUCUAAGUUGCAUGGAAAAAUAUCCAUAAAUUCUAAUUAGCAAGCACAGCACUUUUUGAGGUCCUUUUGU